AGAGUGUCAGAUGGUGGGGCCAUGAAAGGAAGAAGAAACCGCGUCGCACGUUCCGGGCCUAAUUCAAGUCCAGCUUCAAUUGUCGGAGAUCGCACGGUGGUGCUGGUGCUGGUGCUGGCGCUGGUGCUGGCUUGGCCUUCUAGUGGUCAGAUUUUGAUCCUCCAAGUUACCUGAUGAUCAUGGGAUCCAAGACUGUAAGCAGGAGAAAGAAGAAAAAGAUCUAGGAAAAUAUUUGGGAUUUCCGCGUAUUCAAGAACAUGUGGUUGCCUAAGCUACAUUCAUGCAAAUUGAUAAAAUUUCAAGGCAAUUUAUUUGGGGUAACAAGGAGACGAGAGGGAGCUGGAAUUUAAUUAAUUAGAAUAUGGUUACUCGUCCUCGCAUCAAUGGUGGUUUGGGUGUGGGGGAAACAAGGUUUGGAAAUAUAUCUAUGCUUGGCAAACUGAUCUGGCUUCUCCUGAAUAGCCCUUGUAAAUUGUGAAGAAUAAGCUGCUGGUUCAGCUUCAAAACUAUUCUAACUCCAGUUCUUACAGCUGGAAAUCCAUCAUUCGAGCUCUUAAACAUUUGAGGGAGGGAUUCAUGGUAAGGCUUGAUACUAGAAAUGUGUAGAUCUGGUAUGAUAUAUGGCUGGAGUUUGGGAGCUUAGUGUCAAUUCUUCCUGUAGCGAAUAUUCGUGACACAGACAUGUUGGUGAAGGAUCUUUGGGUUGACGGCAAUGGAACUUGGAGUCAUUAUCUACGGUAAUUCCCAGUGAUAUUCGUUUUGGGAUCUUAGCUGUCCCAAUUCCUAGAGAGCGAGAUUUGAAGGACUAUGAUUUGGAAAAAAUCAAUUGCUGGAACUUGUACUCCUCAACUUGGGUAUACUUGGCUUCUAAAUAGAUCUAGAUAUAUCGAGGAUGAUAUAGGAAAAUGGCGAUGGCUAGUGAAGCUUAAGGCUGUGGAAAAGGUCAAACACUUAAUUUGGCCCAUCUUCUAUGGUGUUUACCAAGAAACACACUUCGAUUUAGGAGGAGGUAAACGGACAAUCAAGUAUGUCCUCGCUGCCAACUUGAUACUUGGCUUUGUGUUAGGGAUUACGGAUUGCAGAAGAGAUUGGGAGGUUUCGCAGGAACUUGGUUUCAUUAGAGCAACUAAUUUUCUUGACGGGAAUAUUGUUGACUGGAUUAUUCAGCUAGAGAAUUCAGACCAGAGUCAUCUGUUUUGUUCGGCUUUAUGGUGGAUUUAAAGGCAGGGAAGUUGUUUUGCUUUCGGAAACCACUAUAAGGUGAUGUUUGGUUGAGGAGAGGACUGUCUGGAGAACGGUUGCUGAUACUUAUAUGACCUAGGUGUUUGUUUACGUAGUUACUGUUGCGGUUGUGACUGUAUUUUAAUUAAAAUGUAA